rnacentral:rRNA from 1 species
AGGACGAACGCUGGCGGCGUGCUUAACACAUGCAAGUCGAACGAGGCCCUACCUUCGGGUAGGUGACCUAGUGGCGAACGGGUGAGUAACACGUGGGCAACCUACCCUCAGCUCUGGGAUAACACCGGGAAACCGGUGCUAAUACCGGAUAUGACCUGGAACGACAUCGUUCUUGGUGGAAAGUUUUUUCGGCUGAGGAUGGGCCCGCGGCCUAUCAGCUUGUUGGUGGGGUAAUGGCCCACCAAGGCGACGACGGGUA